rnacentral:rRNA from 1 species
AGCGUAGACGGUGUGGCAAGUCUGAUGUGAAAGGCAUGGGCUCAACCUGUGGACUGCAUUGGAAACUGUCAUACUUGAGUGCCGGAGGGGUAAGCGGAAUUCCUAGUGUAGCGGUGAAAUGCGUAGAUAUUAGGAGGAACACCAGUGGCGAAGGCGGCUUACUGGACGGUAACUGACGUUGAGGCUCGAAAGACGUGGGGAGGCAAACA